UACGUAGGGUGCAAGCGUUGUCCGGAAUUAUUGGGCGUAAAGAGCUUGUAGGCGGUUUGUCGCGUCUGCUGUGAAAUUUCGGGGCUCAACCCCGAACUUGCAGUGGGUACGGGCAGACUAGAGUGUGGUAGGGGGAGACUGGAAUUCCUGGUGUAGCGGUGAAAUGCGCAGAUAUCAGGAGGAACACCGGUGGCGAAGGCGGGUCUCUGGGCCGUAACUGACGCUGAGGAGCGAAAGCAUGGGGGAGCGAACAGG
rnacentral:rRNA from 1 species